GGACUGCAGCUGCCAUGAGCCCCAGCCAGUAUUUCUUUAAUAUAGACAUAUAUAUUAAUAAAAGAAAUACUGGCUGGGGCUCAUGGCAGCUGCAGUCCAA